AAAAAGGUAAGCUAACUAAGCUAAUGGGCUCAUACCCCAUUUAUAAAGGUAAUAAUCUUCUCCUUUUUA
rnacentral:tRNA from 1 species